rnacentral:misc_RNA from 1 species
GAUGAAGAACGUAGCGAAAUGCGAUACGUAAUGUGAAUUGCAGAAUUCAGUGAAUCAUCGAGUCUUUGAACGCACAUUGCGCCCCCUGGUAUUCCGGGGGGCAUGCCUGUCCGAGCGUCAUUGCUGCCCUCAAGCACGGCUUGUGUGUUGGGCCUCCGCCCCCCGGCUCCCGGGGGGCGGGCCCGAAAGGCAGCGGCGGCACCGCGUCCGGUCCUCGAGCGUAUGGGGCUUCGUCACCCGCUCCGUAGGCCCGGCCGGCGCCCGACGGCGACCCCCCUCAAUCUUUCCAGGUUGACCUCGGAUCAGGUAGGGAUACCCGCUGAACUUAAGCAUAUCAAUAAGCGGAGGA